GAGCGUCACUUCCGCCGUGUCACGAUGGAGGAGAUCGGAGUGCUGUGCGAGAAGGCCCAGGAGGACCUCCCGGCGCUGCCCCGCCCCCACCCGGCGCUGCCCUUCCUGGGCCCCGAAGCCGAAGACCUCGAGGACCUCUACAGCCGAUACAAGAAGCUGCAGCAGGAGCUGGAGUUCCUGGAGGUGCAGGAGGACCGACCCCACACCUCACCCCAUAGCUCACCCCAUAGCUGACCCUAUAUCUGACCCCAUAGAAGCUGCAGCAGGAGCUGGAGUUCCUGGAGGUGCAGGAGGAGUACAUAAAGGACGAGCAGAAGAACCUCAAGAAGGAAUUCCUGCACGCCCAGGAGGAGGUGAAGCGCAUCCAAAGCAUCCCAUUGGUCAUCGGGCAGUUCCUCGAGGCCGUGGAUCAGAACACCGCCAUUGUGGGGUCCACCACCGG
rnacentral:lncRNA from 1 species